rnacentral:rRNA from 1 species
CUGACCUCGAAUCAGGUGGGACUACCCGCUGAACUUAAGCAUAUCAAUAAGCGGAGGAAAAGAAACUAACAAGGAUUCCCCUAGUAACGGCGAGUGAAGCGGGAUGAGCUCAAAUUUAAAAUCUGGUGGUCUUUGGCUACCCGAGUUGUAAUCUAGAGAAGUGUUUUCCGCG